rnacentral:tRNA from 1 species
GGGACUGUGGCUCAGUUAAGAGCUUCUGCUUUGCAAGCAAAAGGCCCCGAGUUCAAUUCCCAGCUUCUCCA